rnacentral:misc_RNA from 1 species
AAGUCGUAACAAGGUUUUGUGAGAACAGACACCCUUCCCAGGGAACGUUCGGAAGCCUGUGCAGCCCUGAAGAGGGUCCGCGACUCUAAAUAACGGAUGCAAGUAGCGGAAGCUGCAACAUGAUCGAAUUGCGGGGAAAUCCUAAAGCCUAGCGGUACCAACACUCGGGGGAAACCCCGGGUGGGCCUGUGCUAACCACACGGGAGGUAAGAACCCGCUAGGAUGCGCCAAUGGAUGAUCCGCAGCGAAGCCCCUACCGGCUCAGGCCCACGGGGAACGUCCACAGACUAAGUGGUUAUGGGUAGAGCGUGCUCUGCUUAAGAUAUAGUCGGUCGCCCGGGAAACUGGCGCGGGUAUACGUUCCGUAGGUGAACCUGCGGAAAGGAUCAUUACAGAGUUCAUGCCCUCAUGGGUAGAUCUCCCACCCUUGUAUAUAUAAUCAUCUGUUGCUUUGGCGGGCCGCGAGCCUAGCUUGCCUGGGUUCUGCCCAGCGUGCCCGCCAGAGGAAACCCAAACUCUGAACGUUAGUGUCGUCUGAGUACUAUAUAAAAAUAGUUAAAAA